rnacentral:lncRNA from 1 species
AUGCCUUUGGUAGAUAUGGAACCAACUACGCCUUUAAAGGAGGUAGUGGAACUGUAUAAGUCAGAAACAAAUUUGAUACUGCAUAAUUGCAAAAAGUGGACUAAGCGUACCAAACAGGACUCUAGUCCAUGGCCUAAACAAGGGUCAUUGGAUCCUAAAUUAUUAAUGCAGAUGGAGGGUAAAAUACAUGAUUAUAAGUUUCAAGAUACCAGUGAAAAGAGAGAAAUUAAAAGGAAACAGGAAUUGCAGACUUUGAGGGCCUUUAUGAAGCUGUCAAAGGAUAAGGUUGGGGAGAAGAGGCAGACUUUGGGACAGGUCACUGGUAUCAGCAAGCUGAGGGAGUGUGAACUGAGAAAUUUUGGGGAAAAGCCAUUUACACCCCCACCCUAUGUUCUAGUUAAUGAACCAUUGGCCCAUGUUAACCAGCUAUAUCCACAAUUACCUGACAUGCAGAAUCCUGUUGUAGAAUUUAAAGGGGGUUUUACGGGUCAGGCCGAUAUCAGUGUAGAGGUAGAACAGAGAUUGGAAGCAGCAGUUGAUGACAUUAACACAGCAGUUAAUCUUAUGGCUCGGAGGAUGGAACAAUUAGAAGCAGGGAGAAGUACUGAGAUAGCACUAGUAGAUGUUGGCGAGGUCAGAGAGCAAUCAUUGACACAGCAUUCCUCAGGGAUAACAGCCAAGGAUGCCAUUCAUGGGGGUGUUGAAAAUGUAAACGCAGAAGAGGAGGUAGAGCCAGAGAGGUCACACACGCCAUCUUCAACAGGAUCUUUGACAGGGGAGGCACAGGAAAAAGAAAAUAAUUACAGACAUUUAUUCAAAGAAGACAAGGAGAGGGUCUUGCAGAAACAAGAGACAAUGAAAAGGCAGGAAAUGAGGAAAAGAGAGAGGUCCCGAGAUAAGGUCACAGAGCCUGACAUGACAUUACUAAACUUGGACGAUGGGCAGACGCAGGGGACUGGACAAGCACAGGGGGCAGAGGGAGGAAUGUCAUGCGGGAGGAAGGAGAGACAGGACACAGAAGAUUUAGAAACAUUCUGGGAUAUGAGAGAGAAAAAAUUUGUUGAAUUGAAUAAUCAGUUAACACCAGCAUUAAAAGGG